UACGAAGGGGGCUAGCGUUGCUCGGAAUCACUGGGCGUAAAGCGCACGUAGGCGGAUUGCUAAGUCAGGGGUGAAAUCCUGGAGCUCAACUCCAGAACUGCCUUUGAUACUGGCGACCUUGAGUCCGGAAGAGGAGAGUGGAAUUCCUGGUGUAGCGGUGAAAUGCGCAGAUAUCAGGAAGAACACCCGUGGCGAAGGCGGCUCUCUGGGACGGUACUGACGCUGAGACGCGAAAGCGUGGGGAGCAAACAGG
rnacentral:rRNA from 1 species